UCUUUUCUUUCUUUCUUUUCUCGCACCUCCCCCAAUGCUCACUUCACUUUUGGUCUGAAAGCACCUUUAGGCAAGGAAGCAAGUUCAUUUGUGUGAUAGGGAAGGCAACAGAGGUCUAGCACUAGGACCCAGCCAAAGGGGCAGAGUCUAUAAAUAGGGGAGGGAAGAUCACCUGGUCCUUUCUUUCUGCAGUCACACACCUGAGAGAGCAGCUAAGGCCAGCCUUUGUUUGGUGCUUGAUUGGAUUCCAGUCACCAGAGGGGAAUGUGCUUCUAAGUCAAGCAAGUGAUGUAGCUGAUGUAACAUGAAGAACCAGCUGGUUCUCCUCCCCAGUCAUCACACUGAGUCCUGGUUUCUGUGGUCGUGUUCCUC